CAGCCGCCGCGGGAAUACGUAGGUCCCGAGCGUUGUCCGGAUUUAUUGGGCGUAAAGCGAGCGCAGGCGGUUAGAUAAGUCUGAAGUUAAAGGCUGUGGCUUAACCAUAGUACGCUUUGGAAACUGUUUAACUUGAGUGCAAGAGGGGAGAGUGGAAUUCCAUGUGUAGCGGUGAAAUGCGUAGAUAUAUGGAGGAACACCGGUGGCAAAAGCGGCUCUCUGGCUUGUAACUGACGCUGAGGCUCGAAAGCGUGGGGAGCAAACAGGAUUAGAUACCCGAGUAGUCCCUGUCUCUUAUACA
rnacentral:rRNA from 1 species